UACGUAGGUGACAAGCGUUGUCCGGAUUUACUGGGCGUAAAGAGCGCGCAGGCGGUCGUUCAAGUCGAGUGUGAAAGCCCCCGGCUCAACUGGGGAGGGUCACUCGAUACUGAUCGACUCGAAGGCAGGAGAGGGAAGUGGAAUUCCCGGUGUAGUGGUGAAAUGCGUAGAUAUCGGGAGGAACACCAGUGGCGAAGGCGACUUCCUGGCCUGUUCUUGACGCUGAGGCGCGAAAGCUAGGGGAGCAAAAGGG
rnacentral:rRNA from 1 species